AUGCAGUCUAGGGGGCAGCAAUGUCACCGGCGCACGGGUGCGUAACACGUAUGCAACCUACCUUCUACAGGGGUACAGCCUUCCGAAAGGGAGAUUAAUACCGCAUGAGACCACACUUAUUCAUAUGAGAGGGGUUAAAGAUUUAUCGGUGGAAGAUGGGCAUGCGUCUGAUUAGUUAGUUGGCGGGGUAAUGGCUCACCAAGACGAUGAUCAGUAGGGGAUCUGAGAGGAUUAUCCCCCACACUGGCACUGAGAUACGGGCCAGACUCCUACGGGAGGCAGCAGUAGGGAAUAUUGGGCAAUGGGCGCAAGCCUGACCCAGCCAUGCCGCGUGCAGGAAGAAGGCGUUAUGCGUUGUAAACUGCUUUUAUACAGGAAGAAAGAGGCCAUGCGUGGCAAACUGACGGUACUGUAUGAAUAAGCACCGGCUAACUCCGUGCCAGCAGCCGCGGUAAUACGGAGGGUGCAAGCGUUGUCCGGAUUUAUUGGGUUUAAAGGGUGCGUAGGCGGCUUUUUAAGUCAGCGGUGAAAGACUGUCGCUCAACGACGGAACUGCCGUUGAUACUGGGAAACUUGAGUAUGAUUGAGGUAGCCGGAAUGGAUAGUGUAGCGGUGAAAUGCAUAGAUAUUAUCCAGAACGCCAAUAGCGUAGGCAGGUUACUAAGUCAUUACUGACGCUGA
rnacentral:rRNA from 1 species